CGGCGAGUGAAGCGGCAAGAGCUCAAAUUUGAAAUCUGGCCUCCCUUGGGGGGUCCGAGUUGUAAUUUGUAGAGGAUGCUUCGGGUGUGGCCGCCGUCUAAGUUCCUUGGAACAGGACGUCGUAGAGGGUGAGAAUCCCGUCUUGGGCGGCCGGUCCGCGCCCGUGUGAAGCUCCUUCGACGAGUCGAGUUGUUUGGGAAUGCAGCUCUAAGCGGGUGGUAAAUUUCAUCUAAAGCUAAAUACUGGCCGGAGACCGAUAGCGCACAAGUAGAGUGAUCGAAAGGUUAAAAGCACCUUGAAAAGGGAGUUAAACAGCACGUGAAAUUGUUGAAAGGGAAGCGCUUGCGGCCAGACUCGAGGGGCGGGGUUCAGCGGGUGCGCGUCACCCGUGCACUCCCCGUCCCCCCGGGCCAGCAUCAGUUUCGACGGCCGGUCAAAGGCCCCCGGAAUGUGUCGUCUCUAGGGACGUCUUAUAGCCGGGGGUGCAAUGCGGCCCGCCGGGACUGAGGAACGCGCUCCGGCUCGGAUGCUGGCGUAAUGGCCGUAAGCGGCCCGUCUUGAAACACGGACCAAGGAGUCUAACAUCCACGCGAGUGUUCGGGUGUCAAACCCGUGCGCGCAGUGAAAGCGAACGGAGGUGGGAGCCCUAGGGCGCACCAUCGACCGAUCCUGAAGUCUUCGGAUGGAUUUGAGUAGGAGCGUGGCCGUUGGGACCCGAAAGAUGGUGAACUAUGCCUGAAUAGGGUGAAGCCAGAGGAAACUCUGGUGGAGGCUCGCAGCGGUUCUGACGUGCAAAUCGAUCGUCAAAUUU
rnacentral:rRNA from 1 species